rnacentral:rRNA from 1 species
UACCAGCUCUCCGAGUGGUGUGGAUGUUUAUUGGGCCUAAAGCAUCCGUAGCUGGCUAGGUAAGUCCCUUGUUAAAUCCACCGAAUUAAUCGUUGGAUCGCGGGGGAUACUGCUUGGCUAGGGGACGAGAGAGGCAGACGGUAUUUUCGGGGUAGGGGUGAAAUCCUAUAAUCCCGGGAAGACCACCAGUGGCGAAGGCUGUCUGCUAGAACGCGCCCGACGGUGAGGGAUGAAAGCUGGGGGAGCGAACCGG